AUUGAACGCUGGCGGCAGGCCUAACACUUGCCAGUCGAGCGGAUGAAGGGAGCUUGCUCCUGGAUUCAGCGGCGGACGGGUGAGUAAUGCCUAGGAAUCUGCCUGGUAGUGGGGGAUAACGUCCGGAAACGGGCGCUAAUACCGCAUACGUCCUGAGGGAGAAAGUGGGGGAUCUUCGGACCUCACGCUAUCAGAUGAGCCUAGGUCGGAUUAGCUAGUUGGUGGGGUAAAGGCCUACCAAGGCGACGAUCCGUAACUGGUCUGAGAGGAUGAUCAGUCACACUGGAACUGAGCCACGGUCCAGACUCCUACGGGACGCAGCAGUGGGGAAUAUUGGACAAUGGGCGAAAUCCUGAUCCAGCCAUGCCGCGUGUGUGAAGAAGGUCUUCGGAUUGUAAAGCACUUUAAGUUGGGAAGAAGGGCAGUACGUUAAUACCUUGCUGUUUUGACGUUACCAACAGAAUAAGCACCGGCUAACUUCGUG
rnacentral:rRNA from 1 species